GCCCCUUUUCCCGUGACCGGGGAACACUUGUCUUUUGGCCGCGCCGCGCAUCUGCGCCGUCUGCUCGAGCACCUGCACAAGCACAAAUGAGAAGUUAGACCACGGGAGGGUCGUAUGGCAUGCGCGGACGUGGAUAAGGUACUGUACGCGCCACCUUUUCUUGUCCGAAUGUGCACCGUAAAGCGCCACCGCCACUGGCCCCAUCGGCGGUAACUCAGCCCCUGGCCACUCAUCUUCGCGGAAGUUUUGCCCCGAUGGGGAGGGGGGGCAUUGGGGGGAGGGCCACACCCUCCCCCCGCACGGGAUGCAAGCAUUGCACAGUAGUGUAGGCACCAGCGCACAAGCACGGGCGGCGUUCCUACGCCACGUUCCAGUGCCAAACUGGCACAAACCGCGAGCUGGAGGGGCUCAGCCCCUUUUCCCGUGACCGGGGAACACUUGUCUUUUGGCCGCGCCGCGCAUCUGCGCCGUCUGCUCGAGCACCUGCACAAGCACAAAUGAGAAGUUAGACCACGGGAGGGUCGUAUGGCAUGCGCGGACGUGGAUAAGGUACUGUACGCGCCACCUUUUCUUGUCCGAAUGUGCACCGUAAAGCGCCACCGCCACUGGCCCCAUCGGCGGUAACUCAGCC
rnacentral:lncRNA from 1 species